CUACGGGUUGCAGCAGCUGGGAAUCUUCUGCAAUACACGAAAGUGUGACAGAGCGAACCAGAGUGCUCCUCAUUGAGGAGCUUUUGCUAAAUGUAAAAAGUUUGGCGAAUAAGGACUGGGCAAGACCGGUGCCAGCCGCCGCGGUAAUACCGGCGGUCCAAGUCGCAGCCAUCAUUAUUGGGUCUAAAACAUCCGUAGCUUGUUCUGCAAGUUCCUUGUGAAAUCCUGUCUCUUAAGGGCAGGGCGCGCAGGGAAUACUGCUGGGCUAGAGACUGGAAGACGUAAGAAGUACGUUUGAAGUAGCGGUUAAAUGCGUUAAUCUUAGACGGACUCACAACAGCGAAGGCAUCUUACGAGGACAGUUCUGACAGUGAGGGAUGAAGGCCAGGGUCGCGAAACGGAUUAGAUACCCCAGUAGUC
rnacentral:rRNA from 1 species